CUACGCUAUGAGAAUAAAUAAACGGAGCACUCUCUCUUUUUCUCUCUCUCUCACGCACACACAGACAGACUUGCUCUGCCUCUACUCCACUCUACUUCUAUCUAUGAAAUACUUGGUUGUAGCUCGUGAAAUGACAGCCGGUUUAUCAACACACGUUUAAACAAUCGGCGUAACGGGACCGCUGAGCGCUGCACAAUUCAGCAACACGCUGGGUCCUGCGGUAUUUAGAGGCUUUCCAAUGUUCGUAACAGAGGUAAAGUAUUGAACUGAUGUUUUAUUAGAAACGAACCUCUUCAUAAUCCAAAUAUCCAAAAUACUUCCUGAACCGUCGGCUCCAAUAGUCUACAAAUCUGCACCCAGGGUUGGGAAUUUUAAUCUUUACUUUAAUAAAGCUUUCAGUCCUACAUGAGUCCUAAAUCAUUUUACUAUAUUCCUUUUCUUAUCACAUUGUAUUUAAAUCCACAGGGUCGACCUGGACCGGACGGACGGCCAGGUGAGGGUGGAAUCGAAGGAAACCCGGGUCCCAAUGGAAGAAGAGGCCCGCCGGGUGAGAAGGGUCUACCUGGACAGGCGGGAGCAAUAGGACUUCGGGGCCCCCCGGGUGCUUCUGGUCCACAGGUGAGUGAUCAC